rnacentral:pre_miRNA from 1 species
AUUCUACUCCCUCCGUUGCACAAUACUACAUGCCUUCUAUUUGUCAAAAUAUAUAUGUAUCUAGACAUGUCUUAGUAUAUAGGUACAUCCAUUUUUGGAUAAAUGGAAGUCAAGUAUUUUGGAACGGAGGGAGUACACA